UGCUUAACACAUGCAAGUCGAACGGGAAGUUUUCGGACUUCUAGUGGCGGACGGGUGAGUAACGCGUGAGAAUCUGCCUUUUGGACGGGGACAACUGCUGGAAACGGCAGCUAAGACCGGAUGUGCCGCAAGGUGAAAUAUUGUAUAGCCAAAAGAGGAGCUCGCGACCGAUUAGCUAGUUGGUGGGGUAAGAGCCUACCAAGGCUGCGAUCGGUAGCCGGUUUGAGAGGACGACCGGCCACACUGGGACUGAGACACGGCCCAGACUCCUACGGGAGGCAGCAGUGGGGAAUUUUCCGCAAUGGGCGAAAGCCUGACGGAGCAAUACCGCGUGAGGGAGGAAGGCUCUUGGGUCGUAAACCUCUUUUCUCAGGGAAGAAUCAAUGACGGUACCUGAGGAAUCAGCAUCGGCUAACUCCGUGCCAGCAGCCGCGGUAAUACGGAGGAUGCAAGCGUUAUCCGGAAUGAUUGGGCGUAAAGCGUCCGCAGGUGGCACAUCAAGUCUGCUGUCAAAGCCCCCAGCUUAACUGGGAAGAGGCGGUGGAAACUGGUGAGCUAGAGAGCAAUAGGGGUAGAGGGAAUUCCCGGUGUAGCGGUGAAAUGCGUAGAGAUCGGGAAGAACACCAGUGGCGAAAGCGCUCUACUAGGUUGCAACUGACACUGAGGGACGAAAGCUAGGGGAGCGAAUGGGAUUAGAUACCCCAGUAGUCCUAGCCGUAAACGAUGGAUACUAGGCGUUUCUCGUAUCGACCCGAG
rnacentral:rRNA from 1 species